CAUGCAGUCGACGAUGAAGCCUUUCGGGGUGGAUUAGUGGCGAACGGGUGAGUAACACGUGGGCAAUCUGCCCUUCACUCUGGGACAAGCCCUGGAAACGGGGUCUAAUACCGGAUAACACUCUGUCCCGCAUGGGACGGGGUUAAAAGCUCCGGCGGUGAAGGAUGAGCCCGCGGCCUAUCAGCUUGUUGGUGGGGUGAUGGCCUACCAAGGCGACGACGGGUAGCCGGCCUGAGAGGGCGACCGGCCACACUGGGACUGAGACACGGCCCAGACUCCUACGGGAGGCAGCAGUGGGGAAUAUUGCACAAUGGGCGAAAGCCUGAUGCAGCGACGCCGCGUGAGGGAUGACGGCCUUCGGGUUGUAAACCUCUUUCAGCAGGGAAGAAGCGAAAGUGACSGUACCUGCAGAAGAAGCGCCGGCUAACUACGUGCCAGCAGCCGCGGUAAUACGUAGGGCGCAAGCGUUGUCCNGGAAUUAUUGGGCGUNAAAGAGCUCGUAGGCGGCUUGUCACGUCGGAUGUGAAAGCCCGGGGCUUAACCCCNGGGUCUGCAUUCGAUACGGGCUAGCUAGAGUGUGGUAGGGGAGAUCGGAAUUCCUGGUGUAGCGGUGAAAUGCGCAGAUAUCAGGAGGAACACCGGUGGCGAAGGCGGAUCUCUGGGCCAUUACUGACGCUGAGGAGCGAAAGCGUGGGGAGCGAACAGGAUUAGAUACCCUGGUAGUCCACGCCGUAMACGUUGGGAACUAGGUGUUGGNCGACAUUCCACGUCGUCGGUGCCGCAKCUAACGCAUUAAGUUNCCCCGCCUGGGGAGUACGGCCGCAAGGCUAAAACUCAAAGGAAUUNGACGGGGGNCCCNGCNACAANSCARCKKARNCAUGUGGCUUAAUUNCRACGCAACGCGAAGAACCUUNACMAAGGSUUNGACNUAUWCCGGAAANGCWUCAGAGAUGGUGNCCCCCCUUNGUGGUCNGGUAWMCAGGKGGNUGCAWGGCUKUYSUCMRCUCGUGUCGUGAGAUGUUGGGUUAAGUCCCGCAACGAGCGCAACCCUUGUUCUGUGUUGCCAGCAUGCCCUUCGGGGUGAUGGGGACUCACAGGAGACUGCCGGGGUCAACUCGGAGGAAGGUGGGGACGACGUCAAGUCAUCAUGCCCCUUAUGUCUUGGGCUGCACACGUGCUACAAUGGCCGGUACAAUGAGCUGCGAUGUCGCAAGGCGGAGCGAAUCUCAAAAAGCCGGUCUCAGUUCGGAUUGGGGUCUGCAACUCGACCCCAUGAAGUCGGAGUUGCUAGUAAUCGCAGAUCAGCAUUGCUGCGGUGAAUACGUUCCCGGGCCUUGUACACACCGCCCGUCACGUCACGAAAGUCGGUAACACCCGAAGCCGGUGGCCCAACCCCUUGUGGAG
rnacentral:rRNA from 1 species